AUAAUGGGUCAGCGACUUAUAUUCUGUAGCAAGGUUAACCGAAUAGGGGAGCCGAAGGGAAACCGAGUCUUAACUGGGCGUUAAGUUGCAGGGUAUAGACCCGAAACCCGGUGAUCUAGCCAUGGGCAGGUUGAAGGUUGGGUAACACUAACUGGAGGACCGAACCGACUAAUGUUGAAAAAUUAGCGGAUGACUUGUGGCUGGGGGUGAAAGGCCAAUCAAACCGGGAGAUAGCUGGUUCUCCCCGAAAGCUAUUUAGGUAGCGCCUCGUGAAUUCAUCUCCGGGGGUAGAGCACUGUUUCGGCAAGGGGGUCAUCCCGACUUACCAACCCGAUGCAAACUGCGAAUACCGGAGAAUGUUAUCACGGGAGACACACGGCGGGUGCUAACGUCCGUCGUGAAGAGGGAAACAACCCAGACCGCCAGCUAAGGUCCCAAAGUCAUGGUUAAGUGGGAAACGAUGUGGGAAGGCCCAGACAGCCAGGAUGUUGGCUUAGAAGCAGCCAUCAUUUAAAGAAAGCGUAAUAGCUCACUGGUCGAGUCGGCCUGCGCGGAAGAUGUAACGGGGCUAAACCAUGCACCGAAGCUGCGGCAGCGACGCUGAUGCGUUGUUGGGUAGGGGAGCGUUCUGUAAGCCUGCGAAGGUGUGCUGUGAGGCAUGCUGGAGGUAUCAGAAGUGCGAAUGCUGACAUAAGUAACGAUAAAGCGGGUGAAAAGCCCGCUCGCCGGAAGACCAAGGGUUCCUGUCCAACGUUAAUCGGGGCAGGGUGAGUCGACCCCUAAGGCGAGGCCGAAAGGCGUAGUCGAUGGGAAACAGGUUAAUAUUCCUGUACUUGGUGUUACUGCGAAGGGGGGACGGAGAAGGCUAUGUUGGCCGGGCGACGGUUGUCCCGGUUUAAGCGUGUAGGCUGGUUUUCCAGGCAAAUCCGGAAAAUCAAGGCUGAGGCGUGAUGACGAGGCACUACGGUGCUGAAGCAACAAAUGCCCUGCUUCCAGGAAAAGCCUCUAAGCAUCAGGUAACAUCAAAUCGUACCCCAAACCGACACAGGUGGUCAGGUAGAGAAUACCAAGGCGCUUGAGAGAACUCGGGUGAAGGAACUAGGCAAAAUGGUGCCGUAACUUCGGGAGAAGGCACGCUGAUAUGUAGGUGAAGUCCCUCGCGGAUGGAGCUGAAAUCAGUCGAAGAUACCAGCUGGCUGCAACUGUUUAUUAAAAACACAGCACUGUGCAAACACGAAAGUGGACGUAUACGGUGUGACGCCUGCCCGGUGCCGGAAGGUUAAUUGAUGGGGUUAGCGC
rnacentral:rRNA from 1 species